UUACAUUUUGACUAAUUUAACUGAAAAGUCUAGCCAGUAGCUUGAACGAGAGAUUGUUUGUGCCACAGCCACAAGGACAGUAAGAUGAGUCCAGAUGAAACAAUACUCUCACUCUGCUGUGCUACACCCCAUUCUGGGUGUGUAGAGCGAGAACAAGCCACCUUGAGCCAAACUGAUAGAGUUUCCUCAUGCUGCACCUUGGCUCAGAGCCACUCUGUCAUGCUUCGUCUGAGUGUUUCUGUUUUUACAAUAACUUCUACAUUUUCUUGUCUGGACACGCUGAAGGCAGCAGCUUUGCUCUGAUUAAGCCUUAAACACAGACACCAUCUGAUAAUGGCCGUGGGUGUGGAUUCAGAACCAGAUUACAAACAGGAAUGAUUCCCAGCUCCUAAAGUUCUCUUUUGUAUUCUUCACUUUCAUCAAACCGACUGGACCACCGAGCUGAGUCCUAAAAUAACCUGGGUGGCUCAGAGGAUUGUCUUAAGGCCAUUAAAUUACUACUGAGCCAGCAGGGGUCACUGGAGGCUUUGAGCAGGUGGAACAGGAACACUUUUGGAUGUGACUCUGCCUGAAGCAGAGACGCAGCUUCUGCCCAGCUGAAGUGGAGCGGGGAUGAAAGCUGAGUCACAUUCUCAUUAACUCGCAUGGCUGCACUCUGCUCCACAAAAAUAAAACAGUCCUAUGGAUGUACGACACGCACAUCCGCAGAUGAAACAGCCACACACAUAGGCCUCCGCUUGCUCGAAGACACGUCAAAAAACAUUUCUCACAUUAGAGCCUGAUGGCCGUGCAAAUCUAAAAAGAGUCCUUAUAUGAAGGAAACUAAAAAGCAGCUCUGUCAUUCCUUCACAUGGACAUCAAACCUCCUAGACGGCCUUGCUGUCACCAGAGACACUCACAGCAGCCCUGAGCACUGACAGCAGAUAACUGCGACCCCUGCUAUAAAAAGAUCAGCUGACACAGUCUGAAAGUGCCUAUAGAUAAACAUAUGGACACCGAAUCACUCAGCGAGGAUGAUUGUUUUUGAGCUAAUACACAGAAAUACUACUCUGAUCCAGGGAAUGCUCUGAAGAAACACCCACUGCUGUGGCAUCCUGCGGGCAUCUCCAACAUGCCUUCAAACACCAGUGACAAGCCAAGGAAGCAGGCAGUGACAAUUCAUCCAAUACAAGUGUCAAAAAGCUGAAUAAACCACAUGGACUCUCUGUAAUAAUAGAGAUCAAUCUGUGCUGCCAUCUAGAGGCCAAUUUUAGCACAGUUAAAAUUGGCCACAUUUAAAAACGAUUUAAUUCUAGUCUCUUUCAAGAUAUUUUUGAUCAUGUGAGUUGAGAACAUUUCUUUAAAUUUAAUUCUGUUUAUUUAUAAAGUUCCUCUUUAUAGGAAGAAAAAAAUAAUCCAAGGCACUUUACAUCUCUAAGUAUCCAGUUCAUGUCCUAAUACAUAGAAAUAUGAAAUUAAUUUAAUCCAAUCGUACACACACAUUCAAAUACAGCGGCGUACAUUUCAUUUCAAAGCUAGUUAUAAUACAAUAACGUCAAAGACUUUGGAGCCACUCCUCCGCAUUGAGUAAGCAAAUCGCAACAGUGGAAAGAAACAACCUGCUUCACAGGAAAUGAUGUCCCACGACCAACUGGACAUUAAGAAUAGCCGAAGCAGAACCCGCAGAAAACAAAGAAACAAACAAAAAAAAA